AAGCUGUGGGCGGUUGGCCUUGAGUUGCUUUUUCGCCACGAGUUUAAACACUGGGGAGCGAAGAGCUGGCACCUGGGCCACCCAGACUGUGGCCAGAGGAGCCGGUCAGACAGCCUUGCUAUAUACUCCAGUAUGGCCUCAUACUGGAAAUCUUCCUGCUUGAGCCUAUAGAAUGUUGCGAUUACAAGCAUAUGUCACCAUAAUUUCACUUCUGACUACAAAUCACGAGGGCACCGAAUACGAUGACAUCCCGUGUUGGUGUAGCGGCUCCUCACACGUAUUUUGAGCGUUCUUCAGCAAGAAAGGUGCAACAGUAACUCAAGCUGUUUAUUUACCCAAGAAGAAACUCUGGGAGAUAAAACACAGUGAAGUCCCUUGAAAAUAAGAGGAAAAAAAGCAAAACCGACCAACCAAUCAAAACAUUCCUAGCAAAUUUGAAAACUCAACUUCAAGGUGACUGACUACAGGAACCCUAAGACAAUGCCAGCUCCAAUCUAAGAGACCUCUGAACCAUAAAUGUGAGGAAAAGCUACACUGAUGCAUAAAGAUGGACAAAAAAUGGAGCCAAGACAUGCCAGACCUUUCAUGGAACCAAGAGGGACCUGACCAAGGACCUGCAAAGUAGACAACAAAGCCUACAGGAAGUGCCAUUUCUGAGGAUGUACAUGGGACAUCAAAACAGUGGAAGAAGUAGGUUAAGACAUGAAAGCAACUUUCACUUGAAUGAGUUCAGAAUUGGCAUAUCCUUUCCUCAUGACUCUUCUUAAAGACCUCUCCAUACAGGAGAAAAUAACUAUGCUGUAGAGUAAGCCCAACCCAAGUACUAUUUCUUGGUUUUGAAAUUUAAAAUACAAAAUAAAUAAAAAUGUAAAUUACCACCCUUUCCUAAUUGCUAACUUAAAGAGGGUAUUUUAUAUAUAAUGUUUUCAAGCUUUUUUUUAUUUUUAUUUUUUAAAGAUUAACCCUGUACAAAUUCUAUAUACAUUGUAAAAGGUACAAUACUUGUUAGGGAAUAUUUUUCAAACACCAGACAUCAUUGUGAUUAGUUCUACUUUAAUCAUACUAAUUAAUCUCCUAAUAGGAUAUUACAACAGAACAACUCAUUCUCCACAAAUUAGACAAGAAACCCAAUAAGAGACACCUACGUGGGCUGAUCACAAAUGCUCAGAACUUCCUUUUUCAGACUUCUCUCUCUCUUCCAACUUAAUAUUUCAGAUCAUUUUUUUUUUGUUCCAUCUUUGGUUUCAUGUAACUGAGCUUCAAACUUGCCUAUGUAGCUGAAAACUGGUCUUGAACUGAUCCUUCUCCUGAUUAUACCUCUACCUCCCAAGUGAUUACAGUCAUGAAUUACAAAACCCACUUUAUUUUAAACUUUCUUCAUGGGCUUUCACAAAGAUUAAAGACUUCAACACUUCUAGUCAGUAUACCAAGUAUAUGAUUUGGGAAGCAGAUGGCAAUAAAUCACAUAUUUAGUGCCGACUUUAAACAAGGUUUCUGUCUCUGAACCUCCUGUCUUUCAGACCACAGCUGCCCACCUUCUCCCAGAUAUUAUUCUGAUUCCUAGUAAUACCAGUGUUUAAUAGAAGUCCAGGGUAGUUCCUAAUGACCAUACUGACAGAUAUUCACAGUGCCCCAUUAAUACCAUCUUUGGGGCGCAAUGGAUACAGCCUAUAACCCACACACAGACCAAGGUUGCCUUGUCUCCUGUUCUUUUCCUGUGCUCACUAAAUGCCAAAUCAGUAUGAGGAGACCUUGGAGAUCUUUCAUCUCCUGCUAACUCAAGACCUGACUGGCUUUGCCUGUUGGUAAGCCAAAGUGAGUGGAACCACAGACCUGAGAGGUCAGUGUUAAGAAUUCAUAGAGAUGUUGGCAGGAAAGACCCCUAGAAAUAAAAAGAUUAAAACAAUUCUUUCUGUGCAAGAGUAUUUGGUUUUAGGAUGCAUAGAAAAUAAGUUAUAUUUCUUAAAAUACAUUUUUUUUUUUACUGACAUCCCUAAAGCUACAUGUAUACUGCUUCUCAAUAUUAAAUUUUCAAAAGGCAAUCAGUAAGACAAUUAGGUCUUUAAAUAAAUAGGCAUAUGCCUUUUUAAAGACUUUCAAUAUUUACAUAUACAUCCUUUAUAGGUAGGAUGGUUUGAAAAACAAAUGAAAUAAAAACAAAAGGUUCAAAUAAAAAUUAAUUUUUGUAGGAAAGUAAAGGUCUUAAUGAGUGAAACAGUAAAGACCUCUAGGUACUGGUGCCUAUUGAACCCACUCUGUAUAUAGUGCCUGAUAAGAACAGGUUCCUGGCAACACCCUUAAGUGUGUCUAUAGCCUUCCUUCUGCAAGUAACUGUUCAAACAGACAUUCAGAUCUCACCAGUGAUCCAAACUCUGAGGUCUUUAAGACUUGAUCAUUUCACACGGGAAAAGCUAGUUGUUUAAAAUGAUUUUCUUUAAUCCUUGCCUCAUUGUUAUUUUAAUCCUUGAUAAAAUGCAAAGGGGAAUUUAAAUCU